rnacentral:rRNA from 1 species
ACAAGCGGUGGAUGAUGUGGAUUAAUUCGAUGCAACGCGAAAACCUUACCUACCCUUGACAUGUCCGGAAUCCCGAAGAGAUUUGGGAGUGCUCGCAAGAGAACCGGAACACAGGUGCUGCAUGGCUGUCGUCAGCUCGUGUCGUGAGAUGUUGGGUUAAGUCCCGCAACGAGCGCAACCCUUGUCAUUAGUUGCCAUCAUUUGUUGGGCACUCUAAUGAGACUGCCGGUGACAAACCGGAGGAAGGUGGGGAUGACGUCAAGUCCUCAUGGCCCUUAUGGGUAGGGCUUCACACGUCAUACAAUGGUCGGUACAGAGGGUUGCCAACCCGCGAGGGGGAGCUAAUCCCACAAAGCCGAUCGUAGUCCGGAUCGCAGUCUGCAACUCGACUGCGUGAAGUCGGAAUCGCUAGUAAUCGUGGAUCAGCAUGUCACGGUGAAUACGUUCCCGGGUCUU